rnacentral:tRNA from 1 species
UAGGCAGAAGCCAGUAGGCUAAGGCGUUUAGCUGUUAACUAAAACUUUACGGGAUCGAAGCCCGUCUGUCUAG